UACGGAGGUUGCAAGCGUUAUCCGGAAUGAUUGGGCGUAAAGCGUCCGCAGGUGGCUAUGUAAGUCUGCUGUUAAAGAGUCUAGCUCAACUAGAUAAGAGCAGUGGAAACUACAAGGCUAGAGUACGUUCGGGGCAGAGGGAAUUCCUGGUGUAGCGGUGAAAUGCGUAGAGAUCAGGAAGAACACCAGUGGCGAAGGCGCUCUGCUAGGCCGUAACUGACACUGAGGGACGAAAGCUAGGGGAGCGAAUGGG
rnacentral:rRNA from 1 species